AGCGAACGCUGGCGGCAGGCCUAACACAUGCAAGUCGAACGAACCCUUCGGGGUUAGUGGCGGACGGGUGAGUAACACGUGGGAACGUGCCUUUAGGUUCGGAAUAACUCAGGGAAACUUGUGCUAAUACCGAAUGUGCCCUUCGGGGGAAAGAUUUAUCGCCUUUAGAGCGGCCCGCGUCUGAUUAGCUAGUUGGUGAGGUAAAGGCUCACCAAGGCUACGAUCAGUAGCUGGUCUGAGAGGAUGACCAGCCACAUUGGGACUGAGACACGGCCUAAACUCCUACGGGAGGCAGCAGCGGGGAAUCUUGCGCAAUGGGCGAAAGCCUGACGCAGCCAUGCCGCGUGGAUGAUGAAGGUCUUAGGAUUGUAAAAUCCUUUCACCGGUGAAGAUAAUGACUGUAGCCGGAGAAGAAGCCCCGGCUAACUUCGUGCCAGCCGCCGCAGUAAAAC
rnacentral:rRNA from 1 species